UACGGGGGGAGCAAGCGUUGUUCGGAUUUACUGGGCGUAAAGGGCGGGUAGGCGGCCACCGCAAGUCAGUUGUGAAAUCUCUGGGCUUAACCCAGAAAGGUCAACUGAUACUGCGGGGCUAGAGUGCAGAAGGGGCAACUGGAAUUCUCGGUGUAGCGGUGAAAUGCGUAGAUAUUGGGAAGAACACCGGUGGCGAAGGCGGCUAUCUGGACUGUGAUUGACGCUGAGGCGCGAAAGCCAGGGGAGCAAACAGG
rnacentral:rRNA from 1 species